CCCCNAGGUGGGGGAUAGCUUUGCGAAAGUGCGGUUAAUACCGGAUGACAUCACCGGAUCGCAUGGUCUGGUGCUCAAAGGGCGGGGACCGGGUAACCGGCCUGCCGGACUGGGAGCGGCCUAUGUCCUAUCACCUAGUUGGUGAGGUAACGGCUCACCAAGGGAAUGACGGGUAGCGGGUGUGAGAGCACGACCCGCCUCAUCGGAACUGAGACACUGUCCGGACACCUACGGGUGGCUGCAGUAACGAAUAUUGGGCAAUGGGCGCAAGCCUGACCCAGCGACGCCGCGUGCAGGAGGAAGCCCUUCGGGGUGUAAACUGCUGUCAGUAUCUAGCAAGUGACCGGGGUGAAUAAUCCCGGAAGCUGAGCAGAUUCAAAGGAAGCCUCGGCUAACUCUGUGCCAGCAGCCGCGGUAAGACAGAGGAGGCAAGCGUUGCUCGGAAUCAUUGGGCUUAAAGCGGGUGUAGGCGGCUGCGUAAGCGUGACGUGAAAUCCAGCGGCUCAACCGCUGAACUGCGUCGCGAACUGCGUGGCUUGAGGUCGGUAGAGGUGGCUGGAACUCUGGGUGGAGCGGUGAAAUGCGUAGAUAUCCAGAGGAACACCGGAGGCGAAAGCGGGCCACUGGGCCGAUUCUGACGCUGAGAUCCGAAAGCGUGGGGAGCAAACAGGAUUAGAUACCCNGGUAGUCCU
rnacentral:rRNA from 1 species